GUUUAACAAAUGACAAGCAGAGUCACAGGUUCAAGCUGAUUUUCUGCAUAUUUAUUUCUUUGUAAAAUAUCAAUACAUCAAAGGAAAUGUUCCAAGCUAAAAAUCAAAUGCACACAAAACAAAAAUAAAAAAAUGUUGACAUAAAAAUAGUUGAAUGUCCACAAAAGCAUCAAUUGAAACUCUAGUACAAUGUGCUGUAUUCUAACUGAAGACAAACUCUGAAGUUAACAAUUUAAGAAGGAAUCAUUUUGUGUGUUGUUUUAAUCAAAGACUAAUCUUAAGUAGGAAGCAUUUUAAAAAAUACAAUUAAAUUAUCAAAGAACAAAAUGCAAGUUAUCUUUCUGUAACUUUUGAAACUUGUUAAAAACCUCACUGGCAAUAUUAAAAGCAAAAAUAAAAUACAACUUCAAUAAAAUCUGUCGAACUGAAAAACUUUCAUUGUGCUGAAACAAAAUAGAAAAUUCAUCUACACAGAUUAUAUAUAUAUAGAGAGAGAUAAAUGUAUAUAUAUAUGCUAGAACACAUGUAAACACAUUGUUAAGACAAGAAGAAACUAGUUCAAAGUUUUGUGAAGACUCAACAUCUCCCUGAGACAAAUCCCUUCAGCCAAGACAAAGAAAUGGAAACAAAAAAAUUGGGGAGGGGGGGGGGGGG